AUUGGACAAAAGGUAGAAAAGAGAGAAAGAAACAAAAGCGUUUUGGUCAGUUCCUCCGUCUCCGUCGUCGUCGUAGGAGUAGUAUUCGUCUUCUUUUUUUUUUUGAGGUCGACUUUUUUCUUCUUUUUUCUUUUU
rnacentral:ribozyme from 14 species